UAAAUAGAGAGAGAGAGAGAGAGAGCAUAGAAGAGAAGAGAGAAGUGUAAGGCUCUGCAUAGUUUGAGCGCCGUCGUUAAUGGCGGAAUUCCGGUGACGCGCCGUCGCUGGUAUUAAAAGUGGUUUUGAUUGCAUGAGAUAAGAAAGAAGAAGAUCAUGGAUAGAACCAGAGAAUCCAGAAGAUCAUCCAUGGCCACCUCCACCAACGGAUUUCCCAGACGCAGACAUCGAACUAUUGCUCUCAGAGACUCUUCCGAGGAAGGUGCUGUGGAGUUGAGAGAAGGUGCGAGUAAGAGAGGAAGGAAUCGAGAUAGGGAUAGGGAUUCGGCGAACAGGAGCAAGAGGAGGAGAGGCUCUCACUCGCAAAGCACCGAAGAGAGCGUCGGAAACGAACAAGACGUCGACGUUGUGGACGUUGGCGUUUCUAAGAUCCGUUCCCCUAAUUAUACGACAUCGUCGUUCGCCUCCGAUCACAACCAUCGCCGGAGCUUCACGCCGGCGAAACCUCCGUCGUUCAAGAUAACGGAUGAGAUGAUCGGCGUGACCGUUCCGAGAAAGGCUCGUUCAGCAUCUGCGAAAAGGUCUCACGAAAGUUGGAUUUCCGCAAGCAGCGGUGGGGAGGAGCUGAAUUUCCGGCAACGGUCGAAUUCCCCCGGAGGACAGAGUGUUGAACCGGCCUCACCUUCUUCUUCGAAUGUUUCUCGUAGGAAGAAGAUGAAAGAGAUUGAACCUGUUUCUAAGCCAUCAAAAUCGUCUUCGUCAGACCUCGAGAUUGAGAUAGCUGAGCUUCUGUAUGGUUUGAAGACUUCGAAGAGCCACGAGUCUUCUAAAAAGUUUGAAGCAAGCGUCAGUCCCUCUGAUGAUGGUGAGAAGAAGAAAAUGGAAGACAACGACAAUUCUUCCACCCUUGUUCCAAAUAAUUCAACUAAAGAGUUAAGCAGGAUUCCGAUUGAGCAACAUGCUGAUGUGGAUUAUCAUGUUUGUCCAUCAUUAGAGGCACCAAAAGAGGACAUUGGGGAAGACAGAAUGAAUUCAAGUGCUGGGUUUGGGGAUGCUUCAGCAGAUGGAAGAUCGGUUUCCCCUACUAAGGAAUCGCCAUCAUGCUCCAAGUUGGAUGCUGAGAAACCAUAUUCAUCUUCAAACAGAGUGAUGUCUGCUUUUCCAGAGGCCAAAGCCCAACGAGUAGGCAAGUUUGAGAUAGAUCUGAUGGCUCCUCCUCCUAUGGGGCUGUCCCCAGAAGUGGAUGACUUGUCAAGGGGUGAUUUCAUAUCAGAAACUAAAGCUUUGGCACCGGAUGUGGAAAUGAAGAAGGAAGAUAGUGUCAAGGUGGAAAGACCAGUUAAGAAGGAGAAAACUCCAGAAGAAAUUGAAGAGGCAAAAAUGGUAACAUUUAAGGAGAAGUUUGAUGUGCUAAAACAUGAUUUCGAGAAGCAAAACAAUGCCAAUGACAUAAAGACAAACAAUAAAUUGGAAGAGCAGGAUGGGAAUAGGGAACUAGCUACUAUAUCAUCAAAUCCCAAAGAAGAGAUAACCGUUCAAUCUACUUCAAUGCCUUUAUCAACAGCUGAAUCAGGACGGCAGAGCAGUCUCUCUCCCAUUGGACACAAGCCGCCCUUGCAGCCAGUUUCAAAGACGGACAAAACCACAGGAUCAUUGACACUAAAGCAUGCGAAUUUUGUCCUCUCUCAACGGCAACCCAAGAGAUGUGCAACCCAUUAUUACAUUGCUUGUAACAUCUUACACCAGCAGUGUACAAAGAUGAAGCCCCCUUUGCCAGCAGCUAUUGGCUCUGGUUCUGUGUGUGACACAAAGCACAAUAAUGUCAACUGUGUGCCCUAUGCAGAAAGUAUGGCCUUUGGGAAGCAAUCUCAAAAACACUUACCAAUUGUAAACCAAAAUGCUUCACAAGAGAAAGGGUGGGCUGCGACCAGCAUUCCUAGUCUUACUGCAGCCAAAGGUUCUAAUAAUGUCAAACCAAUGGAUUCAGCUCAUAGGGUGCAGCUUGUGCUCCAGCAAGGUCCAAAUCCUGGUCCAACUGGUAAUCUAGUGCAUGGUCCUGCUUUCCUCUAUCCUCCAGGCCAGCAUCAAGCGUCAGUUACAGCAACUUCUAAUCAGGCAGGAGCUGUGAAUUCCCCUAACAGCACUUCCUCAUAUAAUAAAUCCCAUAGUUCAGUUGGCGGAUCUCCUGGUACCUCCUCAACUUUGCCAGUAGUUGCUCCUGGAAUAAGCUUUAGCUACCCAAAUUUUUCAGCCAAUGGUUCUUCUCCAUAUAUGACAAUAGUUCACAAUAAUGGGUAUUCAUUCCCUUUUUCAACUUCUCUUGGAGCAACUGCAGCAAUCAGAGGCGCAAGCCCUCCACAAGCAACACAUGUGCUUAGUGGGCCUUUCUACUCUUCUCAAAUGUUCCAUCCACAGCAACACCCUCAGUCACAAGCACUGGUUCAACCAAGUUAUCUUAAUGCAAGCACAUCAAGUAGUUCGUCAUCUCAUAAACAGUCACCAGGUGCACAAGUUAAUGGCAGUAAUAUUUUGACCUCUACAACUAUGGAACUGCAGUCACAAAAGCGACAGACUUCACUGUCUCAUCUUCGCAAGCAUGAGACUGAGAUGGGUGGAGGGAAUGCACCUUCAGUUGCUAAUCGAACAUCUUACUCACAGAAGAACGUGCAUGGCCAAAACUUUACAAUUCCAGUGCAACCAGUGAACUUUUCUUUUAAGCCAUCUGCAACAUCGGAUAUUGUUGGCAAUGGUGGAUGUUUUGGUGACAAACAACAGCAGCAACAGGCUUUAAAGGGAGGAGUAGAGAAUAUACCAUCUCAAGCAUUUGCAAUAUCAUUUGCUGCAUUUAAUGGGACCAGUGUUCCUUCAAACCUUAACUUCUCAUCCAUGGCACAGAAUCCUGUGAUACUUCAAAGCCUGCCUGAUAUGGCAUGGCAAGGAUAUCAAGCUGCAAGCAUUCCUCAGACUACUCAGCAAAAGACUUGUUCAAUAACUGAAGCAAAGAGUGGAGGAAAUUCUUCACACCAAGAUGAUGAAAAGAAAAUCACUCAUGCUAAGUCUUCCAGCAAUGGGCCAACGACCCUUGUUUUUGAUAAUUCAUCUAAGAAUCUUAACUUUGUGCUAUCUACUACGAAUGGAAACUGGUCUAAUCACACCAUUCCUUCAACUGCAAUAACAAGUGUGCCACUCUCUAGUAAUGCUUCAAGUUCUCAACAGCCACCGCAUUUGCUUCAGCUUCCAAAGCAGCAUGCUAUGCAACAGCAGCAAGCUGCUAUGGCAUCUCGAUAUAAAGCAUCAUCUGCCAAUAGCACUCCUGCUGCAAAAUUUGCAAACAAUGCCCCCGUUUUCUCACAAACUCCUUCUCAAUGCAGAAGUUCUAACCAAGCUUCUCACUCUAAGGCCUCGGGUAGAACUACAGAUUCUCAUGUUCAUCACACAUCUAUCAUAACAUCAAAUGCUCCAACCCUCAAAAGUUUUUCCCAGGAACAAGGGAGAGUUUUGCCAGGUCAUAUGCAAAUUUCUUUUGGGGGAAAUUACAUAACGCCCCUGCCACCCCAAGGGCAACCACUACUCAGUAACAACCAGCCUUUGUGUACAACAGCUCAAGGAACUCCAUAUAGUGGGGCCAAUGCAAAGUCAAAUUUGGAAGGAAGUAAAGCUAGUUCGUCGGUGAACGCAUCACAACUGCAACAAACUGAAAAUUCAGCUGGGAGUGGCCAAAAAUCUUCACCAGUUUGUGGGAGAAAUGUCCCAUCAAUAUUGAGUUCAUGCCCCAGCCACCUAUCAGAGCUAAAGUAUUAGAAAUCAAGUCAUAUACGGCACCAAGAUCGACGGAAUUUUCUGCAGUUGCACUCCUAAUCAUAUGUUCUGGGGGCCCUUGCUGCUCUGCUUCAUGUUCACCAACAAUUCAGGCUGCUCAAUAAGAUUGAAGAAAAAAAAGUUUUGGUAGCCAGGUGCUGGAGUUUUGCUUGCAGCUCUUUUCUAAGGUGUCAAUGAUAUGAGGUGUAAAAAGCAAUGUUGAUGUGGGAUAUGCUCAACUCAAUAUCAGUGUUGUGACAAGGCACAUGGAAUGACAUUUGCUGGUGGGAUAAGGAAAGGAAGUUGGGAUCCAUUAGGCCUGCAAUUUUGAAAUACUUCAAUUUCCCUGAACUCAGCAGCUAGCAUUCCUUGGCUAUGAACAACAAAACAUGAUAUGAUGAUGAUACCCAGACGUUUUGGCCGUGAAGGGACAGGUCCUUUGCAUGUAAGGUUUGGAGCAAGACUGACCAAAUACUACAGUUUCCUUUGUCGAUUGAAAUAGAAUCAAAGUUCAGACAUGAUAUGCGCCAAACAGUCAUAAUAUAACGUGACACUUGGUCUGUUGGAUAAGGGAAUAGAGUCUAUUUAGGGUCCUGGUGUGUUUCGGAUGCUUAUAAUGCCUCUCGUUUGAGAUCAUGGUCCUAGGAAUUGGAAUAUAUAUAAAGGGGUGAUCCUUAUAACAA